GAUGAACGCUGGCGGCGUGCCUAAUACAUGCAAGUCGAGCGAACAGAUGAGGAGCUUGCUCCUCUGACGUUAGCGGCGGACGGGUGAGUAACACGUGGAUACCCUACCUAUAAUACUGGUAUCACUUCGGGAAACCGGAGCUAAUACCGGAUAAUAUAUUGCACCACAUGGUUCAAUAGUGAAAGACGGUUUUGCUGUCACUUAUAGAUGGAUCCGCGCCGCAUUAGCUAGUUGGUAAGGUAACGGCUUACCAAGGCAACGAUGCGUAGCCGACCUGAUAGGGUGAUAGGCCACCCUGGAACGGAGACACGGUCCAGACUCCUACGGGAGGCAGCAGUAGGGAAUCUUCCGCAAUGGGCGAAAGCCUGACGGAGCAGCGCCGCGUGAGUGAUGAAGGUCUUCGGAUCGUAAAACUCUGUUAUUAGGGAAGAACAAAUGUGUAAGUAACUAUGCACGUCUUGACGGUAACUAAUCAGAAAGCCACGGCUAACUACGUG
rnacentral:rRNA from 1 species